AUACGGAGGGGGUUAGCGUUGUUCGGAAUUACUGGGCGUAAAGCGCACGUAGGCGGACUGGAAAGUUGGGGGUGAAAUCCCGGGGCUCAACCCCGGAACUGCCUCCAAAACUUCCAAUCUCGAGAUCGAGAGAGGUGAGUGGAAUUCCAAGUGUAGAGGUGAAAUUCGUAGAUAUUUGGAGGAACACCAGUGGCGAAGGCGGCUCACUGGCUCGAUACUGACGCUGAGGUGCGAAAGCGUGGGGAGCAAACAGGAUUAGAAACCCUUGUAGUCC
rnacentral:rRNA from 1 species